rnacentral:lncRNA from 1 species
GCUGCAUAUAUUAUGAAUUUAAAAAGGAAAAAAAAAACACAUGUGCUGCAUCCACUUACUUCCUGGCAGACAUCUUCAUUUAAGAGGAAGGGAGGUAAGAUCUCUAGGUGAGACUUUUUUUGAAUAGAAUAAUCCCCUAUCAUUCCCUCUGACUAUCAGUCAGAAGGUGGUCGGGAGGAAACAUCUUCCUAAACUGCUAGAUAAUAGAUAGGCCUAAGAUUAGACAGGG